rnacentral:lncRNA from 1 species
UUGAAUACUGAAACGAAGCAACCUCAACACACAUCCAAUCUCUAUAACCACACCACAGCCAUAGCCAUGUUCUCCACCACCACCAUUGCCUACCCACUGAUGCUCGCAAUCGUGAUGGCGGCGGCGGCAACCGCGCAAUCACCUGCGCCGGCGCCGGCGGUGGAGGCGCCGGGGCCGUUUUACCCCGUUGCACCUGCGCCGGCGCUGGAUUGCUUCACAUAUCUAUUAAACCUUUCGGAUUGCCUGACAUUUGUGCAGGAGGGCAGUAAUCUGACCGAACCGGACAAGGGUUGCUGCCCGGAGCUGGGCAAUUUGGUCGAUACGCAGCCAAUCUGCUUGUG